rnacentral:rRNA from 1 species
GACGAACGCUGGCGGCGUGCUUAACACAUGCAAGUCGAACGGAAAGGCCCCUUUGGGGGUACUCGAGUGGCGAACGGGUGAGUAACACGUGAGUAACCUGCCCUUGACCUCGGGAUAACUUCAGGAAACUGGGGCUAAUACCGGAUAGGAAUCCUUGCUGCAUGGUGGGGGUUGGAAAGCUUCGGCGGUUUUGGAUGGACUCGCGGCUUAUCAGCUUGUUGGUGGGGUAGUGGCUUACCAAGGCUUUGACGGGUAGCCGGCCUGAGAGGGCGACCGGCCACAUUGGGACUGAGAUACGGCCCAGACUCCUACGGGAGGCAGCAGUGGGGAAUAUUGCACAAUGGGCGGAAGCCUGAUGCAGCAACGCCGCGUGCGGGAUGACGGCCUUCGGGUUGUAAACCGCUUUCAGCAGGGGCGAAGCUUGUGGUGACGGUACCUGCAGAAGAAGCACCGGCUAACUACGUG